AUCCUUUCAGGAUCAUACCUGGAGAGUUUCCAGUAAUCUACCAGUCUCUACUACAGGAGGGAGAGUCAAGCAGAGGCAUAUCCAUUCCAUUCCUAGCUCGGCCAAUGGCUAGAGAGUGGAAGGCAAUCUGCUACAAGU
rnacentral:snoRNA from 2 species